GAAAGGAGGGAGUUCGAAGUUAUGCUAGCUAGCUGUUGUUAGUAUCUAUAACUACCUAGCUAGUCAACUUUUAAAAGUCAAGUUCCAAGAAGCUAGAGUUGACCACCAUGGACAUUGAGGAUGACACGACGGUGUUCGCCACUCUUAAGUCAUUUAAGAGUUUCAUCUCUCUCCCGGACACGUCUCGGAACCAGGGAGAACCAUCCCCAGUGCAGAGCAACGUCCUACAAAAACAGUACCUGCAGAGAUUAGAGUUGCUGGAGGCAGCAGAGAAGGUUCAGUCUAAGACCCAGCUGAUCCAGAUGGACCAGGAGAAGAGACAGAUGGAGAUCAGUCACAAGAGAGCACGCAUCGAACUAGAGAAGAACGCUACGCUGAGUGCUAGGGACUUUGAGCGCGAGGUGGACCGUAACCAGGACCUGCUGGGACGAAUCAGACGCCUGGAAGACAGGGAGGCGGAGUCUAGCAAGAGCCUAUCGGAGCAGGCCGAGGCAAACCGUGCUCUCCGUCGGACCCUGGAGUCCCUCAACAGAAGGGUGGAGGAGAGGGACGGACGGCUCAACACCGCUGACCAGACGGUGAGUGGUUUAAAGGAUGAGAUCCGGGACCUGAAGCAGCAGGUCCAGACUCGGGACAACACAAUCUCUAACCAGACACUGGAGAACCAGGGACUACAGGAACAAGUGGAGCUACAACACAGGAAGUACCAGGAAGUGUCUCAGCGGUGCCAGGCUCUCCAGUCAGCAUCGUCCACCUGCUCCGACCACGAACUCAAGAUUAAGGAGUUGGAGAGGAAGUUGGCUCUGCAAGAACAGGAUGUUGUCAUAGUGAAGAACAUGAGGUCAGAGGUCGCUAGGGUCCCAGAUAUGGACAAGGAGCUCCGACAGCUAAGAGAGGAGAAUGUUUACCUCAGGGAGACGAGGGAGAACGUGAUCCUGCUGAAGGAGGAAACGGAGGGAUUGAGACGUAAGGUAGAACGGAUGGAGAAGAUGAAGGAAGAGCUGGUCAACGUGGAGCUGGAGAAGAAACUGUCUCAGAAACUACAGGCCUGGGAGAACCUGGGACAAUCUACUGGACUCAACAUACGGACACCAGAGGAUCUGUCCAGAGAGGUGAUUCAGAUCCAACAGAGAGAGAUCACGCUCAAACAACAAAACUACACUCUCACCAGCAGCUGUAGGACAGUGGAGCGUUCUAAGGCUGACCUCCAGGGGGAGCUGUUGUCUCUACGAUCUAAAGCUCUAGAAGAGCAGAAGAAGAGAGAGACCCAGGAAUCACUGGUCAGACGACUACAGAAGAGAGUGCUGCUGCUCACCAAGGAGCGUGAUGGUAUGCGUGCUAUCCUGGAGUCCUAUGAUAGUGAGCUGUCUACAGGUGACUAUACUCCUCAACUCACCCGCAGACUCAGAGAGGCAGAAGAUAUACUGACCAAGACACAGAACCACAAUACACAGAUGGAGGUUCUGUUGACUACAGCCCAAGAGGAGGCUGGGGCCCUCAAACUACAAGCACAGACUGUGCAGUUGGAGCUGGAGGUUCUGAAGAAGCAGCGAGACUCCGUCGCCGAGGGCAACCCCUUAGUAACAAACGAGGAGGUCAACGCACUCAGGCUGAAGAUUGAGGAGUUGGAGGGAGAGAGACAACGUCUGGAAGAACAGAACAAUGUUCUAGAGCUGAGGCUGGAGAGACACAAUUUACAGGGAGACUACAACCCGGUCAAAACCAAAGUCCUCCACUUCAGUCUGAACCCUACUAGCAUGGCCAAACAGCAGCGUGUGGAGGAAGUGGAGGCUCUGAGGGCAGAAGUGGAGUGUUUGAGGGAACACCUCCGCUCACUGCAGACAGGGGGAGCUAUCCCACUUACUGCUACUGCAGGAGAGACCAGCCUCAGUCUGCCUCCCUCACAGGAGGUCCUGGAUCUGCGUAAGCAGAUGGAGAGUGCGGAACUGAAGAACCAGCGGUUGAAAGAGGUGUUCCAGAGGAAGAUUCAGGAGUUCAGGACAGUGUGUUAUGUUCUGACUGGCUAUCAGAUGGACAUCACUACUGAGAACCAGUACAGACUGACCUCUGUCUACGCUGAACACAUGGACGACUCUCUACUGUUUAAGGUACACACAGUACAGACUGACCUCUGUCUACGCUGAACACAUGGACGACUCUCUACUGUUUAAGGUACACACAGUACAGACUGACCUCUGUCUACGCUGAACACAUGGACGACUCUCUACUGUUUAAGGUACACACAGUACAGACUGACCUCUGUCUACGCUGAACACAUGGACGACUCUCUACUGUUUAAGGUACACACAGUACAGACUGACCUCUGUCUACGCUGAACACAUGGACGACUCUCUACUGUUUAAGGUACACACAGUACAGACUGACCUCUGUCUACGCUGAACACAUGGACGACUCUCUACUGUUUAAGGUACACACAGUACAGACUGACCUCUGUCUACGCUGAACACAUGGACGACUCUCUACUGUUUAAGGUACACACAGUACAGACUGACCUCUGUCUACGCUGAACACAUGGACGACUCUCUACUGUUUAAGGCCAGUGGGGGUGCUGUGGCCAGUGGAGGCAGUAUGCAGCUGAUGGAGACAGACUUCAGUAGGACCCUGACAGAGAUGGUGGACCUACACCUUCACCACCAGAAGAGCAUCCCAGCCUUCCUCUCCGCUGUGACCCUCGACCUCUUCAGCCGACAGACCACGGUCUGACUUGACCCCCCGGGGGUGGGGGUGUCCUGUGAUGUUAUAUGACCUGUGACCUCAUUGUUUGACAUGUGAUGUCAUUGCCUGACCCUUGACCUCUUCAACCGACAGCGUAGGGUGAAGUUGCCCCUAGACACUGAUCUUGGGUCGUUUUUGCAUUUCCCCUACUAAUGGUAAAGGUUAGAAUUGGGGGAGGGGAAGCUGAUCCUUGAUUUCUACAUCAUUGUUGUCUGACCUGUCACAUGACCCCGAGCUGACCUAUGACUUCACUAUCUGACCUGUGAUGUUAUCAUAUUACCCUGAGGUGACCUAUGACCUCACUAUCUGACCUGUGAUGUCAUCAUAUUACCCCAAGGUGACCUAUGACCUCACUAUCAGACCUGGGAUGUCAUGGUCUGACUGACACAGCUGUGAGAUGGACUCUCAUAUAUGAAGUUAAAUGAAUGGAGUCUAGCUAGACUUGUGUUGUUUCUCAGCAUGAAGUGUGCUAAGUUAUACAUGUGAUCAUCUUAGAAUAGAAUGUAAUUAUUACUAGAUACUCUGGAGGUUUUAGGAUGAUGGUGAGGAAACAAGGGCUUUGUUGACAUCAUACUUCAUUACGUUGCUUAUCUUAGUCUAUGUCACUAAUAGCACCCUAUUCCCGACGUAGUGCACUACAAGAGCCCAAAGGUAGUGCACUAUAUAGGGAAUAGGGUGCUAUUAGGGCGACAGCCUGAGUCUGGAACCAUCAGUCAAAUGUUCUCUUAUUGUUUUAGUUCUUCCUGUGUUGAUCUUUACUCUUCAUUUGUUUUUCUAGAAGGUUCAUAUGGCUUCAUGUUGGACACACGGAUGUCAUUUUGAACAGUGACAGACAACUAUCAUAUUGUUAUUUUCUUGUAAAUGGAAAGGGGUGAAAAGGUCUAACUGAAUGAAUUGAGUGGAUUUGUCAUUUGAACAAACAGCUCUAUAUACUCCUUAUCUCUUAGGGUUUUUUUGCUUUCUGAAUCACAUUUCUGAGUCAAUCUAUACUGAACAAAAAUAUAAACGCAACAUGUAAAGUGUUGGUCCCAUGUUUAGCAAACAUUUCUUUACCGUAAGCCGGCUCCAAUGAGAAUUUGGCUUCACAACCGCAGACCACGUGUAACCACGCCAGCCCAGGACCUCCACCUCCGGCUUCUUCACGUGCGGGAUCG